AUACGUAGGUGACAAGCGUUAUCCGGAUUUACUGGGCGUAAAGGGCGUGUAGGAGGUCUUGCAAGUCAGAAGUGAAAUUCCUGAGCUCAACUCGGGCGCUGCUUCUGAAACUGCAGGACUUGAGUGCUGGAGGGGAUAGCGGAAUUCCUAGUGGAGCGGUAAAAUGCGAAGAAAUUAGGAAGAACACCGGUGGCGAAGGAGGCUAGCUGGACAGUAACUGACGCUGAGGAGCAAAAGCGUGGGGAGUAAACAGGAUUAGAUACCCUGGUAGUGCACGCCGUAAACGAUGAAUACUAGGUGUAGGGGGUAUCGACACCCUCUGUGCCGCAGUUAACACAAUAAGUAUUCCGCCUGGGGAGUACGGCCGCAAGGUUGAAACUCAAAGGAAUUGACGGGG
rnacentral:rRNA from 1 species